AAAAGUCGUAACAAGGUCUCCGUUGGUGAACCAGCGGAGGGAUCAUUG
rnacentral:rRNA from 2 species